AUAUCUCUCCGUACGGGAAGGAUGAGAAGCUUCGACUAAGGUUCGAUUCGAGCGCAGCGAGAACGCGUUGCCGCAGGCAACGACCCGAAGGGCGA
rnacentral:sRNA from 5 species